GUGAAGAACGUAGCGAAAUGCGAUAAGUAGUGUGAAUUGCAGAAUUCAGUGAAUCAUCGAAUCUUUGAACGCACAUUGCGCCCUUUGGUAUUCCAAAGGGCAUGCCUGUUCGAGCGUCAUUUGUACCCUCAAGCUUUGCUUGGUGUUGGGCGUCUUGUCUCUAGCUUUGCUGGAGACUCGCCUUAAAGUAAUUGGCAGCCGGCCUACUGGUUUCGGAGCGCAGCACAAGUCGCACUCUCUAUCAGCAAAGGUCUAGCAUCCAUUAAGCCUUUUUUUCAACUUUUGACCUCGGAUCAGGUAGGGAUACCCGCUGAACUUAAGCAUAUCAAUAAGCGGAGGA
rnacentral:misc_RNA from 1 species